UCCUAUCUGCAGUUGAGCGAACUGAUUAGAAGCCUUUGCUUCUAUGACGUUAGCGGCGGACGGGUGAGUAACACGUGGGCAACCUGCCUGUAAGACUGGGAUAACUUCGGGAAACCGAAGCUAAUACCGGAUAGGAUCUUCUCUUUCAUGGGAGAUGAUUGAAAGAUGGUUUCGGCUAUCACUUACAGAUGGGCCCGCGGUGCAUUAGCUAGUUGGUGAGGUAACGGCUCACCAAGGCAACGAUGCAUAGCCGACCUGAGAGGGUGAUCGGCCACACUGGGACUGAGACACGGCCCAGACUCCUACGGGAGGCAGCAGUAGGGAAUCUUCCGCAAUGGACGAAAGUCUGACGGAGCAACGCCGCGUGAGUGAUGAAGGCUUUCGGGUCGUAAAACUCUGUUGUUAGGGAAGAACAAGUACGAGAGUAACUGCUCGUACCUUGACGGUACCUAACCAGAAAGCCACGGCUAACUACGUGCCAGCAGCCGCGGUAAUACGUAGGUGGCAAGCGUUAUCCGGAAUUAUUGGGCGUAAAGCGCGCGCAGGCGGUUUCUUAAGUCUGAUGUGAAAGCCCACGGCUCAACCGUGGAGGGUCAUUGGAAACUGGGGAACUUGAGUGCACAA
rnacentral:rRNA from 1 species